rnacentral:rRNA from 1 species
GUGCCAGCAGCCGCGGUAAUACGGAGUGUGCAAGCGUUACUCGGAAUCACUGGGCAUAAAGGGCGCGUAGGCGGGUUUCCAAGUCGGUUGUGAAAUCCCUCAGCUCAACUGAGGAACUGCAUCCGAUACUGUUUGUCUUGAGGACGGGAGGGGAGAGUGGAACUUCUGGUGAAGCGGUGAAAUGCGUAGAUAUCAGAAGGAACGCCGGUGGCGAAAGCGACUCUCUGGCCCGUAUCUGACGCUGAAGCGCGAAAGCUUGGGUAGCAAACGGGAUUAGAUACCCCGGUAGUCC